rnacentral:rRNA from 1 species
GUCUAUGUACAUACUACCAUGAAUGCACCUGAUCUCGGAAGCUAAGGAGGGUGAAGCCUGGUUAGUACCUGGAUGGGAGAAACCUGACAGUAAAGACA